rnacentral:tRNA from 1 species
GGAAAGGUGGCAGAGCGGUUGAAUGCACCGGUUUUGAAAACCGACGUAGUAUAAACUACCGGGGGUUCGAAUCCCUCCCUUUCCG